ACACAUGCAGUCGAACGAUGAACCUCACUUGUGGGGGGAUUAGUGGCGAACGGGUGAGUAACACGUGAGUAACCUGCCCUUGACUCUGGGAUAAGCCUGGGAAACCGGGUCUAAUACUGGAUACGACCUUCUGGCGCAUGCCAUGUUGGUGGAAAGCUUUUGUGGUUUUGGAUGGACUCGCGGCCUAUCAGCUUGUUGGUGGGGUAAUGGCCUACCAAGGCGACGACGGGUAGCCGGCCUGAGAGGGUGACCGGCCACACUGGGACUGAGACACGGCCCAGACUCCUACGGGAGGCAGCAGUGGGGAAUAUUGCACAAUGGGCGCAAGCCUGAUGCAGCGACGCCGCGUGAGGGAUGAAGGCCUUCGGGUUGUAAACCUCUUUCAGUAGGGAAGAAGCCGGUCUUUUGGGUUGGUGACGGUACCUGCAGAAGAAGCGCCGGCUAACUACGUGCCAGCAGCCGCGGUAAUACGUAGGGCGCAAGCGUUAUCCGGAAUUAUUGGGCGUAAAGAGCUCGUAGGCGGUUUGUCGCGUCUGCCGUGAAAGUCCGGGGCUUAACUCCGGAUCUGCGGUGGGUACGGGCAGACUAGAGUGCAGUAGGGGAGACUGGAAUUCCUGGUGUAGCGGUGAAAUGCGCAGAUAUCAGGAGGAACACCGAUGGCGAAGGCAGGUCUCUGGGCUGUAACUGACGCUGAGGAGCGAAAGCAUGGGGAGCGAACAGG
rnacentral:rRNA from 1 species